CAAGUUUAUUCUACAAAUUUGAAAAAGAGAAAUCUAUUUGAACUUGUUUAAGAGUGCAAGGAAAAUCGGAGGAACAAAUGAGGAAUCCAAAUGGCUUACGUUCUAUUUAUAUGACUUAUCACUGGUAAAAAUCAAAGGGGCUACAUGUAUGUGAUUUAUAAAAUCAUUUGCUAGAGAAUUGCAAUAAUUAGAUAAACAUGAUACAUUGUAUAUCCUCAUGAAAUAUUUUUUUUACCAUAAAAAAAACCAAC
rnacentral:lncRNA from 1 species